rnacentral:rRNA from 2 species
UCUGGCUCAGGACGAACGCUGGCGGCGUGCCUAAUACAUGCAAGUCGAGCGCGUGAAACAUUUCUGAUCCUCAUCUGAGGUGACGAGAUGUGGAACGAGCGGCGGACGGGUGAGUAACACGUGGGCAACCUGCCUGUAAGACUGGGAUAACUUCGGGAAACCGGAGCUAAUACCGGAUAAAACUUAUUACCACAUGGUGAAAAGAUGAAAGGCGGCGCAAGCUGUCACUUACAGAUGGGCCCGCGGCGCAUUAGCUAGUUGGUGAGGUAACGGCUCACCAAGGCGACGAUGCGUAGCCGACCUGAGAGGGUGAUCGGCCACACUGGGACUGAGACACGGCCCAGACUCCUACGGGAGGCAGCAGUAGGGAAUCUUCCGCAAUGGACGAAAGUCUGACGGAGCAACGCCGCGUGAGUGAUGAAGGUUUUCGGAUCGUAAAACUCUGUUGUUAGGGAAGAACAAGUCGGGUAGUAACUGACCCGGCCGUGACGGUACCUAACCAGAAAGCCCCGGCUAACUACGUGCCAGCAGCCGCGGUAAUACGUAGGGGGCGAGCGUUGUCCGGAAUUAUUGGGCGUAAAGCGCGCGCAGGCGGUCCUUUAAGUCUGAUGUGA